CCGCCUGAAACUUAAGCAUAUCAAUAAGCGGAGGAAAAGAAACCAACAGGGAUUGCCUCAGUAACGGCGAGUGAAGCGGCAACAGCUCAAAUUUGAAAUCUGGCUCUUUCAGGGUCCGAGUUGUAAUUUGUAGAAGAUGCUUUGGGUGUGGCUCCGGUCUAAGUUCCUUGGAACAGGAUGUCAUAGAGGGUGAGAACCCCGUAUGUGACUGGCUGCCUCCCCCGUGUAAAGCUCUUUCGACGAGUCGAGUUGUUUGGGAAUGCAGCUCAAAAUGGGUGGUAAAUUUCAUCUAAAGCUAAAUAUUGGCCAGAGACCGAUAGCGCACAAGUAGAGUGAUCGAAAGAUGAAAAGCACUUUGGAAAGAGAGUUAAACAGUACGUGAAAUUGUUGAAAGGGAAGCGCUUGCAAUCAGACUUGCGCGCGGCCGAUCAUCCGAGGUUUUCCCCGGUGCACUCGACCGCGCUCAGGCCAGCAUCGGUUUCGGUGGUGGGAUAAAGGCCUUGGGAAUGUGACUCCUCUCGGGGAGUGUUAUAGCCCUCGGUGCAAUGCCGCCUAUCGGGACCGAGGACCGCGCUUCGGCUAGGAUGCUGGCGUAAUGGUUGCAAGCGACCCGUCUUGAAACACGGACCAAGGAGUCUAACAUUUAUGCGAGUGUUUGGGUGUUAAACCCAUACGCGUAAUGAAAGUGAACGGAGGUGAGAACCCUUAAGGGUGCAUCAUCGACCGAUCCUGAUGUCUUCGGAUGGAUUUGAGUAAGAGCAUAACUGUUGGGACCCGAAAGAUGGUGAACUAUGCCUGAAUAGGGUGAAGCCAGAGGAAACUCUGGUGGAGGCUCGCAGCGGUUCUGACGUGCAAAUCGAUCGUCAAAUUUGGGUAUAGGGGCGAAAGACUAAUCGAACCAUCUAGUAGCUGGGUUCCUGCCGAAGUUUCCCUC
rnacentral:rRNA from 1 species